rnacentral:snRNA from 1 species
AUACCUUUCUCGGCCUUUUGGCUAAGAUCAAGUGUAGUAUUUGUGGCAAAUUAUGCUGUGCAUCCGUAUGCACCAUGCAUGGUGCAUACGGAUGAAAAACGGUGUCAUUUUAAUAAAACGCGUGUCUCUCCUU